rnacentral:lncRNA from 1 species
CUGAUUUUCAGUUAAAACACUUUUCCUUGUUUUGUGAUCAACAUUUUAUUUAUUUUAAAGGAACACAGACAAGAACAAAUAGCAGCAGGAACGGUUAUACAGCUGGAGACACAAUACUGUUAAAAUAUAUAUCAUAACAAAUAGCAGCAGGAAUGGUUAUAGAGCUGGAGACACAAUAAUGUUAAAAUAUAUAUCAGUGUAUUAUGGAAACCAGUUAUUGCAGGUAAAUACGAUUAUAAUAAUAAAUUCAGUAAGGUUCACAUUUGCACUAAAAUGACCAUGAACGGGCAAUCAGUUGGGUAUAAAACCCACUACAGUAGGUAUUGUAUGGUUUCAGUUGGGUAUAAAACCCACUACAGUAGGUAUUGUAUGGUUUCAGUUGGGUAUAAAACCCACUACAGUAGGUGUUUUAUGGUUUCAGUUGGGUAUAAAACCCUCUACAGUAGGUAUUGUAUGGUUUCAGUUGGGUAUAAAAUCCACUACAGUAGGUGUUUUAUGGUUUCAGUUGCGUAUAAAACCCACUACAGUAGGUAUUUUAUGGUUUCAGUUGGGUAUAAAAUCCACUACAGUAGGUAUUUUAUGGUUUCAGUUGGGUAUAAAACCCACUACAGUAGGUAUUUUAUGGUUUCAGUUGGGUAUAAAACCCACUACAGUAUGUAUUUUAUGGUUUCAUUUGGGUAUAAAACCCACUACAGUAGGUAUUGUAUGGUUUCAGUUGGGUAUAAAACCCACUACAGUAGGUAUUUUAUGGUUUCAGUUGGGUAUAAAACCCACUACAGUAGACAUUGUAUGGUUUCAGUUGGGUAAUAAACCCACUACAGUAGGUAUUUUAUGGUUUCAGUUGGGUAUAAAACCCACUACAGUAUGUAUUGUAUGGUUACAGUUGCAGAUAAUCAUGUGGUUACAUAUUCAUUUGCAGACCGGAGCCCAAGACACCUUGAUUACACAGAUCACACAGAGGAGAGGUUCUGAUUUUCAUUAAAUGAUGUGUUCUAGGUGGAAGGUCUUCAUUACACAGAUCACACAGAGGAGAGGUUCUGAUUUUCAUUAAAUUAUGUUUUCUAGGUGUGAAGGUCUUCAUUACAUCACACAGAGGAGAGGUUCUGAUUUUCAUUACAUGAUGUUUUCUAGGUGGAAGGUCUUCAUUACAUAGAUCCCACAGAAGAGAGGUUCUGAUUUUCAUUACAUGAUGUUUUCUAGGUGGAAGGUCUUCAUUACAUAGAUCACACAGAGGAGAGGUUCUGAUUUUCAUUACAUGAUGUUUUCUAGGUGGAAGAUGAACCCUGUGUAUGAGAUUACAAUGUAUCAGCUGGUGAUUAGGAUUGUUAGAUGAAUCCAGUAAGUUCCUGAUGAACUCAACUGGUGAGCCUCUUUAGCAGCUAGUUCCAUGGACACACUGAUUUCAAUGUCCUUCACCAAGGUCAGAUGACUUUCAGUCAACAGUCUCUUUAGUGUAGCUUCACUCCGUAGCCCACAUACUAGUCUGUCUCUAAUGAUGUCAUUUACAACACCAUUCAACUCACAGUGUUCUGAUAGUUUCUUUAAUGCAGCAGCAAACAUUGGUACUGAUUCUCCCUCUUCCUGAUGUCUCCUGUGGAACCUGAACCUUUCAGCAUUAACUAGUGGUUCUGGUGAAAAAUGUCAUUGAAGUAUCUCCACAAUAUCCCCAUACGUCUUAUUACCUGUUCUGUCUGGCUGUAGCAGGCUGCCUAGUAAAUUACAUGUCUUUGGCCCCAUUACACAAAAAUGUCAUUUGCAGGAACAAAAUAUUCAAACCGUUCUGUAUAUGAGCUCUACUGCUCAAAACUUUCAUCAAACUGUCCAGUGUUUCCAACAAUUCCAGACAUGUUUCAUUUCUCAAUCAAUCAAAUUCAAUCAAAUGUAUUUCUAAAGCCCUUUUUACAUCAGCAGAUGUCACAAAUUGCUAUACAGAAACCCAGCCUAAAACCCCAAACAGCAAGCAAUGCAGAUGUAGAAGCACGGUGGCUAGGAAAAACUUCCUAGAAAGGCCAAAACCUAGGAAGAAACCUAGAGAGGAACCAGGCUCUGGAUGAUGGCCAGUCCUCUUCUGGCUGUGCCAGGUGGAGAUUAUAACAGAACAUGGCCAAGAUGUUCAAUUGUUUAUAAAUGACCAGCAGGGUCAAAUAAUAAUAAUCACAGUGGUUGUAGAGGGUUCAACAGGUCAGCACCUCAGGAGUAAAUGUCAGUUGGUUUUUCAUAGCCAAUUAUUCAGAGUUAGAAACAGCAGGUGUGGUAGAGAAAGAGCGAGUCGAAAACAGCAGGUCCGGGACAAGAUAGCACAUCUGGUCAAUAGGCUCCUGAUUGUCACUCACUUCAGUAUUGUCCUCAACAACAUCAAUAUUUUCCUCAGUCACGUGAUCUUCAUUCACUUCACUCAUUUAGCAGUUUUUAAUUCCAAAUUCAUCUUCACAGUUGAAUAAAUGUUCAUGCCUGUCACAACUCCUACCGAAGGUGGCCCCCCCUCCUGCUCGGGUGACGCUCGGCGGUCGUCGUCGCCGGCCUACUAGCUGCCACUACUAGCUGCCACUUUGAGAUAUCAGCUGAUGUAAGAAGGGCUAUAUAAAUACAUUUGAUUUGAUUUGCCAUUGAUUCCAUUUUUGUUUUCCCCCUUUUCGUUAUUGUUCUUAGUUGGGCUGAUUAGCAGGCUUUAUUAGCCAGUAGGCCCACCUUGUCUUUGUGUGGGAUUAUUUUCAUUGUAUGCUGUGCGUCUUUACACGCUGUUUGUUGCACAUUUUCAGUGGUGCGUAUGUUUGCGCAAGCUGUGUUUUGUCCCUUGUGUUUUGGGCACUUUGUUUUGCAGUGCUCUCUGUGCGCUGUUUGGGUUGGCUUGUCGUUUGGUCAGUGUGCCUAUUAACCUGUUUGGGAUUGAGGGCAGUAUUUUCACGGCCAGAUAAGAAACGUACCCGAUUUAA